rnacentral:tRNA from 1 species
GGUUAUGGCUCAGCAGUAGAGCCCUCACCUCGCAAGUGCAAGGUCCUGGGUUCGAUCCUCAGCACCA